rnacentral:rRNA from 1 species
GCCAGACUCCUACGGGAGGCAGCAGUGGGGGAUAUUGCACAAUGGGGGGAACCCUGAUGCAGCGACGCCGCGUGGGUGAAGGAGCGUUUCGGCGCGUAAAGCCCUAUCGGCAGGGAAGAAGGAGGAGGGUACCUGACUAAGAAGCCCCGGCUAACUACGUGCCAGCAGCCGCGGUAAUACGUAGGGGGCAAGCGUUAUCCGGGUUUACUGGGUGUAAAGGGGGCGCAGACGGCAGCGCAAGCCAGGAGUGAAAGCCCGGGGCCCAACCCCGGGACUGCUCUUGGAACUGCGCGGCUGGAGUGCAGGAGGGGCAGGCGGAAUUCCUGGUGUAGCGGUGAAAUGCGUAGAUAUCAGGAGGAACACCGGUGGCGAAGGCGGCCUGCUGGACUGCGACUGACGUUGAGGCCCGAAAGCGUGGGGAGCAAACAGGAUUAGAUACCCCAGUAC